rnacentral:rRNA from 1 species
AUGCAGUCGAGCGAACAGACGAGGAGCUUGCUCCUCUGACGUUAGCGGCGGACGGGUGAGUAACACGUGGAUAACCUACCUAUAAGACUGGGAUAACUUCGGGAAACCGGAGCUAAUACCGGAUAAUAUAUUGAACCGCAUGGUUCAAUAGUGAAAGACGGUUUUGCUGUCACUUAUAGAUGGAUCCGCGCCGCAUUAGCUAGUUGGUAAGGUAACGGCUUACCAAGGCAACGAUGCGUAGCCGACCUGAGAGGGUGAUCGGCCACACUGGAACUGAGACACGGUCCAGACUCCUACGGGAGGCAGCAGUAGGGAAUCUUCCGCAAUGGGCGAAAGCCUGACGGAGCAACGCCGCGUGAGUGAUGAAGGUCUUCGGAUCGUAAAACUCUGUUAUUAGGGAAGAACAAAUGUGUAAGUAACUAUGCACGUCUUGACGGUACCUAAUCAGAAAGCCACGGCUAACUACGUGCCAGCAGCCGCGGUAAUACGUAGGUGGCAAGCGUUAUCCGGAAUUAUUGGGCGUAAAGCGCGCGUAGGCGGUUUUUUAAGUCUGAUGUGAAAGCCCACGGCUCAACCGUGGAGGGUCAUUGGAAACUGGAAAACUUGAGUGCAGAAGAGGAAAGUGGAAUUCCAUGUGUAGCGGUGAAAUGCGCAGAGAUAUGGAGGAACACCAGUGGCGAAGGCGACUUUCUGGUCUGUAACUGACGCUGAUGUGCGAAAGCGUGGGGAUCAAACAGGAUUAGAUACCCUGGUAGUCCACGCCGUAAACGAUGAGUGCUAAGUGUUAGGGGGUUUCCGCCCCUUAGUGCUGCAGCUAACGCAUUAAGCACUCCGCCUGGGGAGUACGACCGCAAGGUUGAAACUCAAAGGAAUUGACGGGGACCCGCACAAGCGGUGGAGCAUGUGGUUUAAUUCGAAGCAACGCGAAGAACCUUACCAAAUCUUGACAUCCUCUGACCCCUCUAGAGAUAGAGUUUUCCCCUUCGGGGGACAGAGUGACAGGUGGUGCAUGGUUGUCGUCAGCUCGUGUCGUGAGAUGUUGGGUUAAGUCCCGCAACGAGCGCAACCCUUAAGCUUAGUUGCCAUCAUUAAGUUGGGCACUCUAAGUUGACUGCCGGUGACAAACCGGAGGAAGGGGGGGAUGACGUCAAAUCAUCAUGCCCCUUAUGAUUUGGGCUACACACGUGCUACAAUGGGCANUUCCAA